GAGAGAGAGAGAGGAGAGGAGGAUGCUUGUUAUUGUGGAGCAUCUCAGCCCUGCAGCCUGCGCCUGCGCAUGCUAGGACUGCUGCUGCUGCUGCUGCUGUUAUUCCUGCUUACUGCUAUUAUAUUCCUGCAGCUGCUGAUGCUGUAGCUGAUGCUGUUGCUUGGUUGGUGCUGCUGAAUCAGUGGCCAUUGUGGCUGUUCCUCACAUUAGAGCUUCCUGUCUGAUUGUCUGAUCUCAUCAUCUGAUGAUCUGAUCUGAUGAUCUGAUCUGCAUCUUUCUCCUUUGUGGACAUAUUGAAGAUAGACAGUCUUCAGCAUCAGAUGUCCUCAGGCGGCGAGAGGAAGCUGUAGCAGGUGGCUGUCAGGCCACACCACACGCUGGUUCAGGAAGGGAAGAAGGAGGCAGAGAAGAAACCUCAUUUGAGGAAAUCGGACGCAGGGAACGACUCGGAAAGAGUCUGUGGCCCAUGACUUCAAAUAUAUUUCUCCUUCUGGCCCCCAACAAAAAAG